ensembl:lncRNA
CGGGCGGGUCGCGCUGCGGCGUGAAACGGCGCGUUUUCGAGGGAGAGCGGCUGAAAGAUGGGUGAAGUGAGUUCCACGUGGGGAUGAACGGACUCCUCGCGAAACCCCGGCUGAGUCCGACAGAAAUCAGUUGGUGCUGCGUGCGAGAACGUCUCGUUUACACUUCGCAAAACAGCCGGUGGUUUUCUGAGCGCAAUACUGAGCAAAACUCCUUUGAUCGCUUCAGGGCUGAAGGGAGCCUCGCUUGCCGGGGCACAGUGGGGAGGGACGGGGAGCGCAACCCCCCGUGGCACCGGGAAUGGGAAGAAAGCGGGGUUUUGUGUGGCCUCAGCUGCGAGAGUAGAGAGCGUCACUGGCGGGAGAGCAGCAGCCCUCAGCCCGCUGAGGGAUCCCAGCGCGCUCCAGAGCAGCGGGGUCACGGCCGCGGCCAGGCGAGGUGCUGCUUCUCCCCUGGCAGCACGAGAGAAUCCAAAGCUGGGAACACCAGGUCCCUUCGUGUGCAAGAUUAGUCUUUUCUUGCCUGUUGUAUGUUUAAAAUGUAAUGUAUUCUGAACCUUCUGGGACCUAACUCGCAGCUCCACAGGUAAGCUCCAAAAAUACGGGGCUUCCUCCUGCUGCACCGCACCACCAGCAGCAACCACGUCCUUCUUCUCUAUUCACAGGAUUCUGUUACCGAUGAGUCCGCGUGCGCAACCUCUCAUCAAACGCAAGAGGUGCUCCCAGGAUCUCAGCAUCUCUCUCCCAUGGCAGGGACGGGAUAGGCAGCACGAGGGGAAGUUGCUUAUAAGCACCGUCGUGUAGCGUCAGAGCUGCAGGUUUGAAAGCUCUGAGAGCCAACCUCACAGAACCUUCCUGCUCUGAGGCACCAGCACCUUGCUCAUUCACGAAAUCACUCUGAGGAAGAAGGCAAAAUGAAUUUUUGCAUUAGGGACACAUCACUGGUUUCUCCGUAGUGCUGAUAACACAACUUUAGUGAAAAUCUCGGACCUUUUGCUACACAGAAUAACCAUGUUGCCCUGAAUGGUUAUUGUUUAGUGAAACAUCUGAAAACACAUAAUAGACUACUUGUUUGCAACGCUUGCUAUAGAUUUUGUAAUGAAGUGCCGUUGCGCUGCAUCAAUUUGACAGUUCGAGUUGAUAAUUUGACAGAAAGAUUAAUCCUAAACUCCCAGCAUAAACAGAAUUCCCUUUAAUGUCAGAAGGGACUUUGUAACUGCCAGCCCAAACGCUGCGGAUGGGCUUCAGCAGGUUACAGAGAGCGUCUUCAGGAUCAAAUUUGACAUUCCUCUUCCUGACUAACAGUUGGUAGUUGAAAAUAGAACACCUCUCCCAGUUCUGAAUUCUGACCCUCACUUCUUGCUCACCCAAACCGAGGACUUCCAGACUUCUUUUCCCAAACGCUCACCGCGAAGGCUUUUGAAUGCAGAUGUUCACUCGUGUCUCCUGACAGUAGGCUCAGUUUUCUCAGCUACUUUUAGUAAGCUCCUAAAAACAGCCCACGGUCCCUCAGAACCUCAUCAACAACUGGCUAAAAGCCACGGUCUCACUGUAUCCUUUUUUCUUUUGGUAUCUACUACAGACUUUGGACAGGUACAAAAGUUCUACCUCUCUGGGUCCAGGUCUCUCUGUCUGACAGCACGUUAUUUCUGCAGCUGUCACAUCUCCUCAUUUUCUAGAGCUGUUAUUACCUUUACAUAAUACGUAUUAUUAUAUUACAUAUUCUUCAGAAGUUGUUCUUCCAGUGGCAACAUAUGGAGGACCAUCAACCGUCAAGACGGAAGUUCAUGCAACUGUCAAGACUGAAUUUCAUGCAUUCAGAAUGCUUAGGCACCAUCUGACACUCGUAGAGACCCUAACGUUAAAUACAUCUACUGAACUGUGACAGCACACAUUUCUUGUGUGAAAGCCUAUAUUUCUGAUAAGGAAACCUGGUUCAGCAGCGCUCAAUAUGGAUUCUGGAUAACAUCUUAAAGAGGCCAACCAGCCAUUCCGUGCAUACAGAAACAUGCCUGUGAACUUCUCCCUGCAGUCAGCUCCUUCAGCUCCCCACUUCCACGCCAGUGAUGUUAUUUCACCCACACCUUGCAGAAGGGGCGCAUUCCACUCAUUCCUGAGCUGGGACGAGCGCCCGCAGCAUUACUCACCCACAGCAGUGUCUGUAGAUCCCUGUCUGCUGUGGAUACUAAUCUCAAUCCAGAGCUUCCUCAGACGAUUAGAGGCUGUUCUGCAAAAUGUCAAUACGCAGCCUCUCCGAAGCCAACACGGUGUGGUGGUUGAAAUGGGAGCCGUGGAGGCUUUCCAAAUAUGAAGGUCUGGAAAUGUUUGGAGGUAUUUUAAUAUUGAUGAAUACUUCAGAUUUUUUUUUUUUUUUUUCUGUUGCUUCAGUGUAUCAGUGUCAAAUCAGUGCGGAUUAAUGGCAAGACAGAGCCCUAGUACCAUUCAUGUCUAUCAAAGUUCUGGCAAAUGCUAACAACUUACUGCUAUUAAUGAUCACUCUUUGCCCAGAAGUUCACAUAAUUCAUCAAAAAGCCAAUGUUGAUAAGCAGAAAGAAAUUAAAUACUUCUGAGUCUUCUGUUAAAAUGCCUUUCUUUUUACUUUGUUUAACAUCUAAUGUCUCCUACGGCAAAAGUAAGCAAGGGGAAGUCUUUUCCUUCUUCAGCACGAAAGAGCACCCACACCACUCAAAAACAGUUGAGAUUAAACCUUUGAAAAGGUAUCAGCAGUGUGUGUAAAGCCAAAUUGGUAAAGUGUGCCCUAGACACCACUUUUGACUCUGGGGAAAAUGCUUUAUCAUCUGUCUACUGCUACGCUCUGCCUAUUCAUCACCAUUACUCAGUAACUCUGCGGUGGCAGCUUUGUACUUAACAUGAAGCCAAAGAUCAGGGAGAGGCACACAUCAAACAAGACUUGAACUUGGAGAUGGCAAACCAUACGUUCUAGACCUCAUUCCUUUAAAGGACCGUACCUCGGAAUGAAACCUGUGAGCCUUCUCUAUAGUUUCAUUUGUUCAAUACAGUGCUACACUUGUUCUGUAAAAGAAGUUGGCAAAAGCCCUGCUUUCCUGAGAUCUUGUCAUUCAUUGUGACUGAAACCUAAAAGGCUGCCCUAUGGUACUAGGGCAGGUCUGGGGUACCUGAGAGAUCUACCUGCUCCCUAUGCCUCCAUUCCACUUUCUUCACACACCUUGAAACCAAGGAACUGUCAAACACAGAAGCAAAGAUGGCGAGGGGUGUACACCCCCAUUCUUUGCAGCUUUCCAUGGCUGUAAAGUUCCCUGUGAAGUGACCCGAGAAUAUGUACAAUGACAGAAAACUCAUUUCUUCACCCGCCAUUUCUCAACAACAGCCAGUUCCAGCCCUUGUCAUUCUUCUACUUCUCCACACAGAUGAAGGCAGGAGAGAAUUCUCUUGGUUUCACUUUAAUAAAUGAGUAAGUCUCACAGGCAUUACAAUGGUAGGAGGAGAUGCAGAAAAGUUGUGUGUGGUUGGGAUACGAUGGAAAUUUCUCUGUUAUUUUAAAAUUAUUUCUUCCUUUAUAAUAGAUCAUUUGUGCUUAUACACUCCUGAAAAUGCUUUUAUAGCAAUCUACAUCAAGUUCUUCCUAAAAAGCAUCCCUCCUCUUUUUGUCUUUUUGUGAAGAAUAGAUUUUUUUUUUACAAUAAAGAUAGUGGUUUAUACAUUUGCUCAUAAUUCUGUAUUUCCCCCGUGAGCUUUAUUACAUGAUAUAGUAUGUCAGUUUAAGUAACAUCUGUCAAGGGAUGGAAAACAAUUACAGGUUCUUUUCAUUCAUGAAAGUCAUUCUGGAGUUUCUUCAUCCUUAAUUUUCUUGUCAUGCUUUCAAAAACAUUACAUCAUUUUGUCCAAAUUCCCCCCUGCAUUGCUUAUACAAGAUACAGUAGGUUAUUAAUUUCUUUCCUAGACCCAAAGAAACACAUCAAAGUAUCUACAGUCGCACGUACUACAUGUUUUAGACCUGGUUAAAGUUGGGCUUUGACAUGUCAUUAUUUGACAAUUACUCUUCUAUUGCAGUGCUUGCUUUCCUGCCAGCAUCUCGCCAGAAUCCUGCAUGACAGGUGAUUCAAUCUCUUGAUCUCAGUUAGAUUUACACGAAUUUUACGCACCCUAAUAUAUAAUGGCAAUGCAUUCACACUGCUGUGGCUAAAAGUCUGUCGAAAUCCCAAACACAUCAUGAGAAUACAUAACAAAUAUAUUCAGGACUAGAACAUGUCAUAUAUUAUCAGCACAGGAAAACAUUCUUUGUUCUUAGAAUCAAAGAACAGCGGAGACUGAAAGGCUCUUGUGAAGAGGAACCUAAUUUCCCUCCUCAAUGAUGGUGAGAAAUCAUAGGAAGAGACACAAGGUGGCAAAACGUAUGUACUUCACCCUGAUAGGAUGCACCCACAAGGGCUGAGGAUGCUGGCAGAAGUGACUGCCAAACUACUCUCUAUCAUUUUUGAAAGGAGAUCAUGGAGAAUGGGAGAGGUGCCUGAAGGCUGGAGAAAAACUGAUGUCACAAAGGGCAAGAAGGAGGACCUGUGAAACUAAAGGCCAGUCAGCCUCACAUCCAUCCCCAGGAAGGUGAUGGAACAACUUACAUGCAACCUGCUCUAGGGAAACUGCUUUAGCAGUGGCGUUGCACUAGAUGAUCUCCAAAGCUUCCUUCCAG